rnacentral:tRNA from 1 species
GCCUGGCUGGCUGAGUCUGUAGAGCAUGUGAUUCUUGAUCUCAGGGUUGUGAGUUCAAGCCCCACAUUAGGUG